UACGUAGGGGGCAAGCGUUGUCCGGAUUUAUUGGGGCGUAAAGAGCGUGUAGGCGGUUAGGUAGGUCCGUUGUGAAAACUCGAGGCUCAACCUCGAGACGCCGAUGGAAACCAUCUAACUAGAGUCCGGAAGAGGAGAAUGGGAUUCCUGGUGUAGCGGUGAAAUGCGCAGAUAUCAGGAAGAACACCCGUGGCUAAGGCGGUUCUCUAGUACGGUACUGACGCUGAGACGCGAAAGCCGUGGGGAGCGAACAGG
rnacentral:rRNA from 1 species